GCACCUAUAGCUCAGCUGGAUAGAGCAACGGACUUCUAAUCCGUGCGCCAGAGGUUCGAAUCCUCUUAGGUGCGCCA
rnacentral:tRNA from 2 species